rnacentral:tRNA from 1 species
AAGAUACUAGUAAAAAUGCCAUUACAUUGCCUUGUCAAGACAAAAUAGCGGGUUAAACUCCCGCGUAUCUUA